rnacentral:rRNA from 1 species
UACGUAGGGGGCAAGCGUUGUCCGGAUUUAUUGGGCGUAAAGAGCGUGUAGGCGGUUAUGCAGGUCCGCUGUGAAAACUGGAGGCUUAACCUCCAGACGUCGGUGGAAACCGUAUGGCUAGAGUCCGGAAGAGGAGAGUGGAAUUCCUGGUGUAGCGGUGAAAUGCGCAGAUAUCAGGAAGAACACCCGUGGCGAAGGCGGCUCGCUAGGACGGUACUGACGCUGAGACGCGAAAGCGUGGGGAGCGAACAGG